UAAGGAAUAUUGGUCAAUGGACGCAAGUCUGAACCAGCCAUGCCGCGUGAAGGAUGAAGGUCCUCUGGAUUGUAAACUUCUUUUAUCUGGGACGAAAACGGGAUUUUUAUCUCAAUUGACGGUACCAGAGGAAUAAGCACCGGCUAACUCCGUGCCAGCAGCCGCGGUAAUACGGAGGGUGCGCGCGUUAUCCGGAUUUACUGGGUUUAAAGGGUGCGUAGGUGGGCUUAUAAGUCAGUGGUGAAAUCUCCGAGCUUAACUUGGAAACUGCCGUGGAUACUAUAGGUCUUGAAUUAUCUGGAGGUAAGCGGAAUAUGUCAUGUAGCGGUGAAAUGCUUAGAUAUGACAUAGAACACCAAUUGCGAAGGCAGCUUACUACAUAUAAAUUGACGCUGAGGCACGAAAGCGUGGGGA
rnacentral:rRNA from 1 species